GGCCCCAUCGUCUAAGCGGCUAGGACACCGCUCUUUCAAGGCGGCGGUAGGGGUUCAAGUCCCCUUGGGGCCA
rnacentral:tRNA from 1 species